AGCGAACGCUGGCGGCAUGCCUAACACAUGCAAGUCGAACGAGACCUUCGGGUCUAGUGGCGCACGGGUGCGUAACGCGUGGGAACCUGCCCUUAGGUUCGGAAUAACUCCCCGAAAGGGGUGCUAAUACCGGAUAAUGUCUUCGGACCAAAGAUUUAUCGCCUUUGGAUGGGCCCGCGUUGGAUUAGCUAGUUGGUAGGGUAAAAGCCUACCAAGGCGACGAUCCAUAGCUGGUCUGAGAGGAUGAUCAGCCACACUGGGACUGAGACACGGCCCAGACUCCUACGGGAGGCAGCAGUGGGGAAUAUUGGACAAUGGGCGAAAGCCUGAUGCAGCAAUGCCGCGUGAGUGAUGAAGGCCUUAGGGUUGUAAAGCUCUUUUACCCGGGAUGAUAAUGACAGUACCGGGAGAAUAAGCUCCGGCUAACUCCGUG
rnacentral:rRNA from 1 species